CCCACAACACACAGGGAUUACAAUUCAAAUUAUAAUUCAAGAUGAGAUUUGGGUAGGGACACAGAGCCAGAACACAUCAGAAUGGAUCUUUCUUCCUGGAACCAGUUGAAACAUUUGAAUAAAAUAUCAGUUUAUAAAUAUAUGUAAAAAUAUGUUUUACAAUUUGUAUAUUUUGUUGUAUUAUUUAUAUUUUUGUUUUUUGAAUCUAUGGUUUAUAUUAAUAUCAUUCUUGCUCUCUCUACAUCUGUCUGUAUCUACAUAUGUAUAUUUGUUUUUUUCUUAGAACAUAACCUAGAUUCCUCUACAGUGUAAGUCCUUUGUUUUCUGGUUUUCUGGCUAAUAAAAGGUUCUUAUUUCUAUCUUGAUCUAGAAAUACCCCCCUUCCAUUUUUUAUGAAGAAAAAAUACUGAAGAUUUUUUUUUUUUUUUUUUUUGCUAGAAGUAGUUUACUGUCUUUCUCUACAACUCAUUCUAAUUUUUUUCUUUUAGACUUUCUACCAUUCUUACUGUCUUCCAGCAAUGUCUCUAUGAUCAUAGAUAGAUAAACUGCAGCCACACUUAGCCAGGAUCAUUUACAUUUACCUGUAUGGCUCUGUGUAUCUUGCUUUUUAUGCUAGGCAGGUUACUGAAUAGUUAGAUAGGAAUUGAAUUCUUGGAAAUCAAGCCAUUGUUCAAAGAUUAGGAAGAACUUAACCAUUUUAAUGAACUUUAUUAUAAACCUUUUUUCUAAGCAAAUAAUCACCCCUUACUUUAUCUUAUCUCCUAUGCAAAUCCUGAUUUUCACAUUUAAGCUUUACUUAACACAGUGCCACUUUGUAUAGUUAUCUUUAAAUAAUGGUCAGUCCCCAAACUUAUAAUUGGAAAGCAAGUAAUUUUCAUUUACUUUCUGGAUUCUACCUCCGGAAAAUCUCUUAUCUCUAUCUUUAUUUUGGUAAUUCUCUUGUAGGGACUUUAAUAGCCCCUGGAAAAUCAUCAUACCUCUGCUUCAAUCUGAAAACAUAACUGGCAGGCAUGAGCCCAGAACAUAUAUUAGGGAACAAAGUACCCAGAGCCAAGUUAAAUGAACUGUUGAUGACUUUUCUGAAAAUCAUAGUAAACCAUGAUUUCCUCACAAAAUAUAGAAGCAUCUGAUUUUUGGCAUUUAAUUCUCAAACAUACUCAGAUAUACUUUCUUCCUCUCCCACUCUGGGUUUAUAUCAUCAUAUAAAUGAGAAAUGGGUCAUCUUGCCUUUGAGUCAUUUAUGAAAAGUUUUUCUUUUCUAGUUCUGAAGAGUGAUUAUUUUGCUUUUAGAGAGAUCUUUCUUUCUGUGGCCAGUUGAAACAUCUGAAUAAAAUAAAUAACAAUUGAAUGUGGAUAUGAAACUUAACUUGUCUUUUUACCAUUAAAUAUAUAUUUGAAAAAUGUGCUCCUUUUAUAGAUUUUCAGCAUGUACCGAUUCCAACCAGAAAACUAAAUAUUAAUAUUCUGCCCCAAAGUGCUGUUUUCCAGCCUCUGCCAAAGCAGAAAAUGCCAAUAACAGGGAGUUUCCAAUCUAACUUUCUAAUACCAGUGAACUUAUCCAUUUCAAAAAGCAUCCAGUCAAAGUGGUCCCAAUAAGAGAAUACUUUGCCUAGAGAAUUUUGGGCUUGAGUUAUCCAUCUCUGUAACUGAAAUCUGCAGGCCCACUCACCCAGGAGAUCUGAGAAUGAAAUUAAAUAUAAAAAUUAGCUUUACUACUGGGAACCUGAAAGUUCAGCUAGUGGGGGAAGGAAAGCGAAGAACAGAAUGUUUUCCAACAAUCUUUGCUUUUGUGAGUGGUCAGCAGAUGUUUUGUGCCUCUGCUGUAUUCCUUGGCUAAGGGUUCACAUGAAAUGUACUCUCUGAAGGCUGUGGCCUUGUUGGAAUGCCAAAUUAGUCGUUGUUCCUCAUGCUCUGAGGUCUAGCUUCACCUUCAGAACCAGGCGAGCUUGGUCCCCACAAAGUCCUACUGGUACUUAAGCCUCCCAUUUCAAGAGGGCAUUUGGGUUCACUACACCUCUCCAAGCCAUCUGAUUAAUUGCAGCUGUGUGCAAAUUAGUUUUCUUCAGGAGCUCUCUCCUGCUCUCAGAUUAGCGACAACAACGUAUUCAGAUGGAAAGCAAAUAAUAGUAGUUGUAAAAUGAGGACACAAAAGAGAUGCAACAUGUUUGCUCUUGAUGGGUGCAUUGAUGUCAGGGCAACUAGGGGGAAAUAAGACCACCUUGGUACUGUUAUCAUUGUCCUGAUGAUGGUCCCGUCUUGCAGAAAAGUCCAAACAGAAGCAGGGGCAUUGUCUAAUCAUUGAUGGUUUUCGUGAUAUUAUUGAGAAGAACAAGCAAAAUUAAUGGUGAUAUUAUAUCUGGUGAAAUGAUUAUAAAUUCUCCCUGCAGUUUUAAUUAGCCCUGCUCUUUUUCUCCUCCUGUUUUAAUCCAAAGCAUAUGUGUAUGUUUGUAUCAGCAAUUUUAAAAUUCUAUGAAGCGUUUGGUAUCAUCCAUCUAGUUUCAAAACAGGUACAGCAUGAUGCAGUGGGAAGAAUGCUAGCCUUGAAGUUAGGACUCCUGAGUUCCUGCCUAGGUCUGCCACUAAGCUGUAGUAUGACCUGUGACAUGACCUUUCAGGACCUUGGUUUCUUCUUAUGUGAGAUGAAGGAUUAAAAUUCAACAGUUUAUUAAAUCACUCCCAACUUUUAAGAUACUCUUAAUUUUAGGAUCCCACGGAGAGGCCUAUCAUGCGCGAGACCAUCCUAUCAUCAAAAGGUGAAUAUCAGGUGAAAGCAAAACAAGCCACAUUAAUUUUUUUCUGUUGUCAGCUUACAAAGCUAUUUUAAGCCUUUGGACAAUAAGAAAUAUACUUUCAUUUCCCUCCAUUAAAUAUACAUUAUCCAUUAAAGUAGAGCGUGUUGUGAACUGACCUUAAGGGAAUUUGCUAGUUUUUUUGUUGAUUUUUGUUUUUUACAGGAAACUAAGUCCUAUGGAACAAAAUAGAAUUACCUUCAUGGAGCAAGGUUAACAAAUUGUCUUCAUUUUUGGUCAACAGGUUGAUUUCUAAUUCCCUCUUAUUCCCUUUAUAUGUAUUUUUGGCUCCCUGUAUUUGUUUUGUGUUGCUAUAAAGAAACAUGUGAGACUAAUGUAUAAAGAAAAAGGGCUUAUUGGGGCUCAUAGUUUUGCAGGCUGUGCAAGAAGCAUAGCACCAGCAUCUCCUUCUGAGGAAGCCCUAAGAAGCUUUCACUCAGAAGGGGAAGGAGAGCUGUGUGUAGAGAUCUCAUGGAGAGAAAGGGAGAGCAAGAGAAAGGAUAGGAGGUUCAGGCUGUUUUUAACAAUCAGAUCUCAUGAAAAUAAAAGAACUCACUCAUUACCUCGAGGAAGGCACCAAGCCGUUCAUGAGGGAUCUGCCCCAUGACCAAACACCUCCCACGAGGCCCUACCUCCAAUAUUGGGGAUCACAUUUCAACAUGAGAUCUGGAGGGGACAAAUAUUUAAACCAUUAAAUUCCUAAAGGACAAAAAAGGGUGAAAUACACACGAGUACUAUAUCUCCAAACAAAUGCCCAGUUAGGUACAGGACGUGUUCAACGGUGUCAGAAAUCCAAAGAGAACCAGAGAUAGUGUGGCUCAGUAGAAAGUAAACGGAUUAUACACACUCAGCAUUGCAAGAAACCUUAACGGGACUGUCGUCCAACCAGACCAGGCAUUAUUCAAAACACUUUUUACCUCCCAAGGUUUGGCUUUCUAGCAUGAGAUGCCAAGUUACAACUGCCCAGAGAAGUCAUUUAAACUGCAAGAGACUCAGCUUUCUCAUCCUUGGAAGAGAGAAAUUGGACAAAAUUAUCUUUAAUUUUUUUUGCCUUAAUAUCCUCUUAUUCUACUAAACAUUUUCAGUAUUACAGAAAUCUGCUCUUGGAGGAAAAGACAUUGCAGGGGGUGGGAGACAACAUUGGUGAUACAGUAAUAAGAGUUUUUUAGAUAGUGGCAAGAUCAAAUGUUUUGAGGUAUGGCAAAACCAUCUAGUAGUUUCACUUCUCCCUGACAGUAAGAAGUUAAGGAGGCCGAUUUUCUUUUCAAGUCAGAACUUCUUGUUAUAACUGGGUAGUAAACAUACUUUUUAAUAAGAAGUGGCUAAGGCUUAAGAAGACCAACUGCUGAUACCCAGAAAUAGCCAAAGAAUACUUCUUUAUUACUGACAGUGCACACUUUGAUAGACCUGUCUUUUACUAUUGAUAGUAUUCUUUCUCUGCUGUUUUUACAAGGAAAAAAAAGCCCAAUGAAAUGUAAACCUUGUUUUCUUCAAUUAUUUGUCCUAGGAGUAUUCAGAGUAAAUUAAAAAAAAAAUACCUUACAUACACUCUAUAAAAUCUUUUAUUUAGAGCAAUUUAAAAAAGCUAUCUUCUUUCAGUCUUAUUAAGGAGAGCAAAUUCCUCCUAGAAGUCUUAUUUCUACUUCUAAUGACAAUUGUUUUAUUAUGUGACAUUCAAAGGAAAAACCUGAAGUCAUAUUUCUAGCAUUUAAUUUCAGAAAUAAUUUAGACUGUUACUUCAAAGCAAAUAUCUGCUAUUCCUGACAUAAAGUUUUAACCCAAGCUUGGUAAUAAAGUUAUCAUAAGAAUAAUAUGGAUUAUUCUCAGGAUGGAAUAGAAUGUCUUGAUUAGGAAGAAACACAUAUAAAAAAUUCAUUUCAUGGAAGAAAAUCUGUGCUGUUUAUCUGGCAAUGGGAAGUCAGAUCAAAAUAUAUUUAUAUGACAUUUUAAUGGGGUCACGUGAGAAGAAAAGAUCUGUCUGUAUGAAUAUUUUUAGCUUCUGAAUUUGACAUAAGAAUAGGAUCAGGAAAAUGAAUUCUGUGUUACAUGACUAAGAUGCAUAUUAGAACUCAGGCAAGAUGAUUCCUGUAGUUGGUCUACUGGGAAAUUACCCUCUGCCUACAGCUUUCAAAUAAAUAUAUAUGUAUGUAUGUAUGUGUGUGCAUAUAUGUGUGUGUGUAUAUAUAUGUGUGAAAUUUACACAUACGCGCACACACACACACAAUGUGUGUGUAAAUUUUCAACUAAGUACAUCAGCACAUAAAAUACACUUGUCCAAGGUAAAAAAGACAAACAGUUAUUAAUAGGGCAAAAAUAAAGUGGGGUUAUACCCAACCAUGGCAUAAUACUUCUCAUUAGAAAGAAGCAUGGUGAGCUAAUUAAGACCCAGUGAUAGUUAGAAAGUCUGAGAACAUUUAUCUCUAGAAAUGGAGUGGUAACUAACGAAAACAAGGACCCAGAACCUCCUAAUACAAAUAUCAGUUAUAUUCCCAGAGAUUUAAAAAUAUAAUAAUUCUUAUUUCUAAUUCAAUGGCCUAGAGUAUAAGUUCGGAUAACUUAACCUUUUUUUUUCUUUUAAGCCUCUCUGAGAAAUAACACAGCUGUUUGGCCUGAGGUAUUCUCUUUAAAGGAAAGAAGUUACAAAGACAAGAAGAAAAAAGUGGAAGAGAAAAAUAAGGAGAAAAAAUAUUCAAACAGUGCAUGACUUAAAAAAACAUUUCACAAACAGCAAGGGGAAUCUUGAAACAAAAUAGAUUUGUUUUAAAAUGCAAAGAGUGAGCCUUACCCGGAAUCGCCCAGUUCUCUUUUGUUGGUUGAGUUCGCUUCCUCCCAUUUCUGCUAACUUUGACCAGCUGCUAACAAGCAAAAGAGCUUCAUAGAGGUCAUCGACACAUGUUCUCUUCUGGGUUAUCGCAAGGCUGACAAAGUGCACCUACCACAAAUUAGAAGAGCACAAAGAUUUCUGUGGGUAUGCCUGCAAAACUCUGACUGGCUGCCAGGCAGCACCUCAGCUCAAUAGCCUUGGGUUUACAUGUGCCUGACCCCACUGCCCAUGGUCACUGAGGGUGGCCCGAGGAUGGAUUCACUUCAUAACCCUUCUCCAUAAUUAUGUGAAUAAUAAAUGAGCUCUAUCCAAUAGAGAAACAGAACACAUUUUAAUACUUUGCUAAGUGAUGAUGAGGAAGGGGACAGAGGAGUUGAGAUGGCUGAGAGAGAACCUGACCUCUGGAGAUGUAAUAAAACAGUGACAGAUAAUGCAAAAAGAGAUUUAAUAUAUUUUUAUAUAUUUAAUAUUUGUCUUCUGUUGCUGACUUUAGCUUUUGAGUCAAUAGUAACUAGGAAGCAUUUUGUCAUCAGAUGGCUCCUCUUCCUCUGGUUUUCUGUAUUAUAUCAUCUGAUAAGGAAGCAGUGAACUUAAAGCUCAGUUCAACACAAUGAUCCUUCAUCAUAGCUGGGUGUGAAGAAUGUUGUUCCCUCAAAUAUGACACAAAUUGUUUGGUCAAUAGAGAAGAGAACUGCAUUCUAUCUUUUCCAAACAUCUGUUGUACUCUGAAACCUUUCUCCUUAGACCAUGGCUGUCUGACCAACAGUAAGUGGAUUUCUUUUAAAUCUUAUCUUCUAUAGAACUGGAUCUCAUUCUGGCCAACAUGGUGAACUCAGUCUCUACUAAAAAUACAAAAAUUAGCCGGGAGUGGUGGCAGGUGCCUGUAGUCUCAGCUACUUGGGAGGCUGAGGCAGGAGAAUGGUGUAAACCCAGGAGGCGGAGCAUGCAGUGAGUCAAGAUGGCACCACUGCACUCCAGCCUGGCAACCGAGCGAGACUCUGUCCCCCAAAAAAAAAGAAAAAAGAAAAAUAGAUCUCACUAGAAGUAUUCUCAAUUCAGCAAUAGUGUCCAGUUUUGAAUCAAAUAUUUUAUAUUUUGAUUAUGUGUAUUAAGAAGCUAAAUCUACUCAUAUACAAAAGGAAAAUCUUUAAAUUUUCAUGUGUUCUGGGUAAAGGCCAGAAUUAAAAGGAAGAGGACGGCUUAUCUAUCAAACUUUUUUGUGCCUUUGAAGCCAUAAACUUGAGAGAAACUUUAGCUUAUUCCUGACCCUGCACCCAAUAAGCAUUUACUUGUAGCAGUCACUCUUGGGUGACUAUAAAUUCACGAAGUCAAGAAUUUGCAUCCUGAAUUAAUUUGUGUAAGAUGUCUAGGGGAAUGCUGAUUUUAUAUUGGAAACAAGGUUAGGGGGAAGCUUCAAAACUGCCUUUAAGGAGUUCUGUAUCUCAGCAUAUUAUAAUUCUUACUUCUACCAUUCUCCGGAGGAAUCAGUCUGAGUGACUUCAUCAGACAAUAUUAGAAAAAUUGCUAGCACUACGAAAUCAACCAGGUCGUGGCAGUAUAUUCCUUGUAAGAAAAUUAGUGCAUUAACUCUUUCCAAUAAGUGAUUGAAUUAGUUUUGCACAUAAUCUAAUUUAUGAAAUGCUGCACUCACAUGUUCGAGUAGUUAGAAAGUGUGUCGAAGCAGAUGUUGAACUGAAGAAAGAAGGUGAAGGUAUUAUAAAAUGGCUAAUCUGUGGGUAUGACCCAAAGCUUUCAGAAAUUUCCUGGCUUCACUUCUUUUUUUCAAUUUAAUGAUUUUUCUUUUCUUAAAGGCAAAAUUGCCAAUGAGUUAAAUGUUGAUGCUUUGAUGUUAGCAAGACGGAGUUCCUAUGUCCAUCACUUAUUAAAUCUAUUUUCUUAUCAAUUUGUUUGGCUUCUCUAAGUCUUAUUUUCUUGUUUGUAAAAGGAAGAUCUAAUAAUAGAACUGGCCUUGUAGAAUUGUUGUGAGGAUUAAAUGUGGCAACCCAUGGUUAUUGGCUUAGUGCAAAGCCUGUCACAAAGAAAAACUCUAAGUUCUAGCGGCUAUUUUUCAUCUUUUCAUUAUCACCAUUACUUAAGAGAGAUGCAAAGUGAUAGUAUCAUGCAAACAUUUUCAUGGAGAGUUAAAUGAACAUCUGUUUUUCCUGUUCUUCAAUUUUUUUUUUUAAUUAUACUUUAAGUCCUGGGGUACAUGUAGAGAACAUGCAGGUUUGUUAUAUAGGUAUACAUGUGCCAUGGUGAUUUGCUGCACCCAUCAACUUAUCAUCUACAUUAGGUAUUUCUCCUAAUGCUAUCCCUCCCCUAGGCUCCCACCCUCUGACAGGUCCUGCUGUGUAAUAUUCCCCCUUCCCUGUGUCCUUGUGUUCACAUUGUUCAACUCCCACUUAUGAGUGAGAACAUGCGGUGUUUGGUUUUCUGCUCCUGUGUUAGUUUACUGAGAAUGAUGGUUUCCCGCUUCAUCCAUGUCCCUGCAAAGGACAUUAACUCAUCCUUUUUUCAUGGCUGCAUAGUAUUCCUUGGUGUAUACAUGCCACAUUUUCUUUAUCCAGUCUAUAAUUGAUGUGCAUUUGGGUUGGUUCCAAGUCUUUGCUGUUAUGAAUAGAACUGCAAUAGACAUACGUGUGCAUAUGUCUUUAUACAGAAUGAUUUAUAAUCCUUUGGGUAUAUACCCAGUAAUGGGAUUGCUGGGUCAAUUGUUUUUAAAGACACAUUGCAUAAAACUGACUAAUGCCAUUCACGAUGACAGUGAGUUUCAAAGGCAAAUGGCUAUCUUAGUCCAUUUAGAGUGCUAUAACAAAAUGCCACAAAGUUAGGUACAUUAUAAACAACAGAAAUAUAUUUGUCACAGAUCUGUAGGCUGGGAAGUCUGACAUCAAGACCCUGGCAGAUUUGAUGUCUGGUGAGAGCUUGCUUCCUGGUUCAUAGAUGGUGCCUUCCAGUUAUGACCUUACAUGAUGGAAAGGACAAGGGGUCUCUCUGGGACCACAUUUUCAAGAGAAUCCCACUUAAUGAGGGCUGUGCCAUCAUAACCUAAUCACUUCCCAAAAACUCCACCUCCCGACACCAUUACAUUGGUGAUUAGCUUUCAAUAUAUAAAUUUGGGUGCUGGGGUGGGGCACAAACAUUCAGACCAUAGCAGUGGCAGUUCGGAGGAAGUAAAUUUUGAAUGCUCAUUUCCAUGUAAAGGCUUCAUUUGCUUUAAACAAUUUAUUUAACUUUUAUUGUGCUUUUUCUGAAAAUGAAGAAAUAACAUUUAGCUACACAUAGGGAGGGUAUGUUAUUUCUAAAGUAAAAAUUAACUCUUUUGUAAAUGUGGCAUUGUUUAAUAAUAGUUCACCCUAUCCAAUGAUACUUAGCUUUUUUACUUAUAGAAAUAAAUUAUUAGGUUACUGUGUUUUUUUUUUUUUCUUUUGGUGGAGGGGGGUAUUAUGAUCUUAUCCUCAGUCCUCAAAACACUGUUGAACAGGGAACAUCUGCCCUCAUUUCAACCUUAUUUCUUUAGUACCAACUGCAGCCAUGUUUAUAAUCUUUGUUUUCAUCCAAGUAAAGCUGAGGGAGGGGAAGGGGAAUCCACUGAGAAAAAGAUUUUCCCCAAAGAGUGACUGAGCCUUUGAAAAGAAAAUCAGCUAUAUGAAAGGGGAAGAAUGUUUAAUCAUUCAAAGCAAUAAUUGCAUUGUAAAUAUUAGCUCAGCUGAUAAGGAGUGGAGAACCAAGAGAAUGAGGGAGCUGUUACGCUGUUUUAUCUUGUUGGAUGCCUUUAGUCAGUGCUCUAGCAUGGGGGCCACGUCUUGGGAGGGAAUCCACUGCAGCUACAUUUAAGGUCACCUAAUAAACCAUGCUGUGUUCUUUCUUUUCUUCUAGACUCUAUUCCUUCAUUUUUUAUCCUGAACUUUAAGCAAGGAAACUGCCAGUCAUAGAGCAUUUCCUUCUACACUUCCAUGUUCCUGUUAUGCAGAGAAAUCUGAAGGGCAGGCUGAUGGCCAGGCGGGGGGUACUAAUUAACUACGUGACUUUAUCUAGGUCAAAAAAAAUGAGAUAAAAAACAUGCAAAACCAUUCACCUAUAUAGACCUGUUCUCAAGGCAGUGUUUACCCUAGUGUAUCUGCUAAUUCCUUUCAAGUCUGGAAAACUGUUUUCUUUGACAUUUUUGGAAUGCUGUGAUCUGAACCCUUAUACUAUUUUGUUUUCCUUUGUGGUACUAAUAUUCUGAUUUUUAAACAAUUAAAUCUGCUCUAAAUUUGUCUCGCCGUCUUCUACAUCUUCUUCCAACAUUUACAUAGACAUGCAUGCACGUUCAUACACACCACACAACUACAAGUCAUUUCAGACAAAUGGUCUUAUCUAAUUCUUUUUAGUGUUUCCAUUUUAUUAUUUGUCAAAUUGAAUGGAACUUCCAGGAUUUGCCCUGCUGACAUUUAGGCAGACUUGCAUAAAAUACAAGAUUAGUUCUAGCUGGAUAAGAAGCUCAGCUAUCAGAUAGUGUUGCUGAUUUAUACAGUAGGAGGAAGGAAAAAAAACUGCACUCCAGCCUGGGUGACAGAGCGAGACUCCGUCUCAAAAAAAAAAAAAAAAAAAAAAAAAAAAAAAAAAAAGUAGAAACGCCCUGAAGCAAUUGACUUUUAGCCUAUCCAAAUAUUACAAACUCUGUCUUUAUGCAAAAAUUAGAGUCACAGUACCUUCAGAUAUCCUUCCAAUUCUCUUUCAACAAAACAAUUUUUCUUUUCUUUUUCUGCUCUUCACUGAACCUUUACUGUAUUCAAUGUGCAACAGUGCACCUUUUACAUUCAUUUGGCUCAUGGGCUCUUGCAAUAACCCUUUGCUGUGUGAUAAUAUCUCAUUUAUGGUAACUUCUGUGACACUGGUAGGGGACAGAUACAGUGGACAUGUGCCCAGUAAUGCCUUCACUGUGCUCUAUUGUAAUAGAUUGCUCACUUAUUUGCUACUUUCCUCAUCACCCUAUCUCUCAUUCACUAUAAUAUCUUUAGCAAAUCACAUAGUGCCACAUAAAUAAAUGGUACUCAUUCAAUAUGGACCAUAUGGAUGAAUCUCUGCUUAUGAAACAUGAGAGCCCUGUGUGCAGUUAUUCUGUCCGGGAACUCACCUUCUCUGGCAAUGUGAGACCAUAUGUUUAACAUGACCAGUACGGAAGUAGAAGGAAUCUUCUACUACUUUUUACGUUCUUUUUUCUUUCAAAAGUUUCAUAAACUUCAAGUAUUUAAAAAAAACAGUUCUAAUAUGUUCAUACAGUUUGCUUUCAACAAUAACUGCACACGUGCACUGACCUGUGAAGAUGUUUCCAGUAUGAAGUAGAAAAAAUGGGUUUUAAACAUCAUAUAUAAAACUAAUCAAUUGUUUAACAUAUAAAUGCAUACCUGUAUCCAGGCACAUGUUCUUUGAUUAUUCUCAUUUAACCAGUCCGCUAUUGUUGAAUACUUGACCUGUUUCUAAUGUUUCUUUCAAAUAUUUUAAUAUAACUUCUCUGUGUGCUUAUCUAAUUCUUUUGUUUAGAUAAAACGUUUCAUAUGGUAUCCACUUUACGCCAUUAUUUGAUAUGAUUUUCCUCUCAGCCUCUAGGAAUGGGUUUUUCUCUGAGGGUAGUGGCUGCCACUCUGUCUAGUGGCUGAAUAUGACUUCAUGUCACGUGGCUAAUUAUUCAUGGCGAAGGUUGUCCGCAUCUUAUGUAUCAGUGAGUUACCUGACACCCCCUAAAAAUUAUUUUUUUUUCCCCAGAAAGCUUGCUGCUGAGCUGAAUUUCCAUGAUCAGAUGGCGGCAAGGGCCAAGUCUUCUCACAUAAAGAGAAAUCACAUUGAAUCUGCUACAUAUGACCACUGGCCAGGGAGCCUUGUCAUCACUGCAUUCUGGGGAACUGUGCUCAAUUUAAAAAGUUGAAGCUGCUUGCUGGCUUCCUUACUGAUAGUUUUGAAUGUGUAAUCUCACAAAGAUCUUCUUAGCCCUGGCAAAGCUGAGCCUGUCUAAAACCUUUAUGUUAGAAUAUACAUGAAUUCAUUUGUGCUGGCAUCAAACAUUUCUUGAGUAUUUACCAUGUUAUUGGCUCAUCUUAAAGUCAAGCUACAAAGGACCAGUAGGGGUUAACAGGAAGGCAGGAAGAAGAAGGGCACUGCUGCUGGCAGAGGUUGCCACAUGUAUAGAAUAUAGUGGUGAACCUACGUGGUGCAUUUGGAAUUGCAAGUAGUCUGGUUUUGCUGGAAGUGAGUUUGCAAGCUGAGGAGUAACAAGAAAUAAGGCUGAAUAGCAUACCAGGAAGUGGUAGAUUGCAGAGACCCCUGGAUCACCAUGGCACUUAUCACACUACUUGCUGACUUGUGUUUUGGUUUAUUUCCUGAUGAGCUUUGAGCCAGAACUUUAAUGCAAAUUCUUGUUCUCAUGUGUAAAAAUUACUACAAUGGCUUCCCAUUGCUCUUAGAGAAGACAAAAUCCUUAAUAUGGGCUAGAAGGUUCAGUACUAUCUGUCUCCUGCUUCUGUAAUCUUAUUCCUCACUAGGUCUGCCUUCUUCCUCCCAGCCCUACUGGGCCCAUUCUCUGGGCUUCAAUAUUACAGACCUUACUUUAAUUUCGCUAAUGGGAAAUGUUGCUGCCUUCCAACAAAGGGCUUUGGCAUGUGCUGUUUAUAUGAAAUCCUCUUUUCUUCCUGCCACUCUUGCCUAUUACUAUUCUUAUUUCUCAGCUCUCAGGGUUUUUUUUUUACUCAGAGAAAUCUUCCCUGAGUUCCCUGACCAUGUCAAAAUUUUCACUUAUAUGCUGUCAUAACCUCAUGCACUUCUCUUUUACAGUACUUUAAAUUGUCAGUGAUACAUUUGUGUAAUUAAUGAAUGUUCCUUUCUUCCUAAUAGGUGACAUCAUCAUCUAUACCAUCAUUAUUAAAUGAGCCAGCAUCAGUUUCGGUACUUAUCAUAUGUCCUAUACUGUUCUAAACACACUAUAUGUAUUAACUCAUUUAAUUCCCAUAACAGUCCCUAUUAAACAGAUAACACUGAGAAAUAAAAAAGUAAGCCACCCAAGGUUACACAGCUAAUAGGUGAUGAAGUUAGAAUUAGAACUCAGGCAGACUGGAUCUGGAAUCUAUUCUCUUAACCUCUAUCUUUGCUGACUGGUAGGUUACAGACCUAACAUAUAGUAGUUGCUCAAUAAAUAUUUGAUGAAAGUAUAAAUGAAUAAACCAAUUAAUGAAUACUUUAUAUGUGUCCCACUCUUAACUGAGGACAAUUGGGUCUGUAGAUACAAAAGAACCAUAGUAGACUCUUCACUGGCAGGAAUGUGUUCUAGAGGAUCAGGGAAAGAGAAACCACAGAAUAACUUUAUGUGAUUUAUGAUGAAAGUCUUUCAAGUAGAGGAAAAUUAUAAAAUGCUAACCAAAAAGAUUCGUUGUUUGGUUUAUGUGUUGAUCACUGAUCUUUUCCCCAAUAGACUGGGGUUUGCUGAGUGUCUGUAAUCCCAUAGGUGGAUGUUUAUGAUCUGAAGUGACAAUGCAAUAUUUGCUCAGCAUUUCCUGUACCUGAAACAUCCCUUGAAAACUGAAAUAGAAAGAGUAAGUCAAUGGUAAUAUCAUCCAGCACUCUGCCAGGCUUAUGGUGACCUUGCUUACCCAAAAGCAAUUUACUUCCCUCUCAUUUCUAUAUAAGUACUUUACAGCUUUGUGUUUUCAUGCAUUGAGAUUUCCCUAUGAGUCUGAGAAGAUCUCCAGGAACAAAAGAGGAAAGAACAAUGAAUAAACUAGUUCUAGGACUUGGGACAUUGGAUUAUAUUCAGAAACCCACUGUCAGACCAUUGAACUGCCUUCACAUUCAUUACCAGACUCUGAAAAAGCAUAUUCAGUCUCUCCAUGGACUGGCCUUCACAUAUGCCUUGCUGAGAUAUCUGGUAGAAAUAUCUGCCCAAAAGAUUAUUUUUUAUGGAAAAAAAUAGUGCCAUGCCUAUUCUAAAUAUUAUUUUCUGUUUAUCAACUGCAUUCAGGCAGUGCUAAGUAGAUGAUUGAUGCUGAAAUUUUACUAGAUAAUCUUUGCUCUCUCUGUUUUUAUAUGACACAUGGGGCAAAUAGGUGAGAUAAGCAAUUAGUGAAAUUCUGGAAGGGACAGAUUAUGUCAUACUAUUGAAAGGGGCAAAUAGGUGAGAUAAGCAAUUAGUGAAAUUCUGGAAGGGACAGAUUAUGUCAUACUAUUGAAAAGGACAGGAAGUGGAUUAAGUAUUUUAUUUAUAUAUAUAUAUAUAUAUAUAUAGUGUGUGUGUGUGUGUGUGUGUGUGUGUAUAACAAGUUAGUUUCCUUUCCCCACCACUGACAUUGUUAAAUGGAGUGGUGACAUAGACACUUUACUUCUCUACUCCUGGAUUUACUAGUAAAGAAGAAAUAUAUAAAAGAGCAAGACAGUACUGAUCUGGGGUGGUACUAUGGUAUAUAUUUAUACCAUACCAUAAUUCUAUGAUCUAUUAAUGUCACAACCAGCUACAUUUAGCUGGCUUUUAUAUACAAAUGUGCAUAGUACUGUUUUGUAUUAAAUAUCACCAGAAGAUAUUUGUUACAUAAAAACAGUGAGAUUAAUGUUUAUAUAUUUUGGUACUCAUGCUAGAGUUGAAUGAGGUUCUGACUCUGGGGAUAACUCUAGGUAUCCUGGAAAACCUCCACAUAUACACUAAACCCAGAAUCAAUUCAGAUAGGCAUUAUUGUUUGUAGUCAUCUAAUUUCAAGUUAGCGUAGUAGGAUAUGGAUUGUGGGUGGGGUGGAGGGUGACUCUUAGUGCCAGAGAAAGCUUAAAUUACUCAUAGGGAAAGAUAUUCAGCAUAAGAUGGAUAAAACUGAAAUCAGAUGCCCGGACUCUAAAGGACUGGGCUCUAACUGAAAAAAAAAAAAAAAAAAAAAA